rnacentral:rRNA from 1 species
UACGUAGGCAGCGAGCGUUGUCCGGAGUUACUGGGCGUAAAGCGCUUGUAGGCGGUCCACCAAGUUUGGGGUGACAGUUGCCGACUUAAUCGGCAAAGUGCCUCAAAGACUGGCGGACUUGAGGGCCACAGAGGGACAUGGAACUCCAGGUGUAGUGGUGAAAUGCGUAGAUAUCUGGAAGAACACCAAAGGCGAAGGCAGUGUCCUGGGUGGUCGCUGACGCUGAGAGGCGAAAGCCAGGGGAGCGAACGGG